UACAUGUGGGGCAAGCGUUGUUCGGAAUUACUGGGCAUAAAGGGUGCGUAGGCGGCUUGUUAAGUCAGGGGUGAAAGUUUUCGGCCCAACCGGAAAAUUGCCUUUGAUACUGGCGAGCUGGAGUGCGUGAGGGGUGACCGGAACGAGUGGUGUAGCGGUGAAAUGCGUAGAUAUCACUCGGAAGGCCAACGGCGAAGGCAGGUCACUGGUGCGCAACUGACGCUGAGGCACGAAAGCGUGGGUAGCAAACAGG
rnacentral:rRNA from 1 species